UCUUCAGCUAUACUUCAGCGACGAAGAUGACGAUGACGAUUGUGGCACAUUCAUUGGCUCGUCAUUGGGAAAUAUUGCAGUGCAUCACGCUUGGAGUGGCGGAUCUCGCUGCCAGAUUUCUUGAGGGAUGUGCGUUCUACGAGAACCCUGUGGAAGGAGAUCACAUUAGGGGAACAUAGCUUGCCGAUAGGGGGAUGCUCUGUCAUCGAGUACUUUCUUGAUUUCAGCAAAUUCCAGUACUGCACGUGGAACAAGCUACGCUGUUCACCAGCUCUUUGCUCAGAAGCUCGUAGAACGCAAGACCUGCCCGUUAAGAGGACGAAAGGAAACACAACGACGACAGCAUCACUGCGAAAAUCGUACAAUAAACGCAUGGCGCCUUCUCA